rnacentral:rRNA from 1 species
GGUGAGUAAUGUCUGGGAAACUGCCUGAUGGAGGGGGAUAACUACUGGAAACGGUAGCUAAUACCGCAUAACGUCGCAAGACCAAAGAGGGGGACCUUCGGGCCUCUUGCCAUCGGAUGUGCCCAGAUGGGAUUAGCUAGUAGGUGGGGUAACGGCUCACCUAGGCGACGAUCCCUAGCUGGUCUGAGAGGAUGACCAGCCACACUGGAACUGAGACACGGUCCAGACUCCUACGGGAGGCAGCAGUGGGGAAUAUUGCACAAUGGGCGCAAGCCUGAUGCAGCCAUGCCGCGUGUAUGAAGAAGGCCUUCGGGUUGUAAAGUACUUUCAGCGGGGAGGAAGGGAGUAAAGUUAAUACCUUUGCUCAUUGACGUUACCCGCAGAAGAAGCACCGGCUAACUCCGUGCCAGCAGCCGCGGUU